rnacentral:rRNA from 1 species
AUGGAGGGUGCAAGCGUUGUUCGGAAUUAUUGGGCGUAAAGGGCGCGUAGGCGGUUGUGUAAGUCAGAUGUGAAAUACUUCAGCUUAACUGAAGAACUGCAUUUGAUACUGCAUAACUAGAGUACAGGAAAGGGAAAUGGAAUUCCCGGUGUAGAAGUGAAAUUCGUAGAUAUCGGGAGGAGCACCAGUGGCGAAGGCGAUUUCCAGGCCUGAUACCGACGCUGAUGCGCGUAAGCUUGGUGAGCAAACAG